rnacentral:rRNA from 1 species
GAUGAACGCUGGCGGCGUGCCUAAUACAUGCAAGUCGAGCGAACGGACGAGAAGCUUGCUUCUCUGAUGUUAGCGGCGGACGGGUGAGUAACACGUGGAUAACCUACCUAUAAUACUGGGAUAACUUCGGGAAACCGGAGCUAAUACCGGAUAAUAUUUUGAACCGCAUUGGUCAAAAGUGAAAGACGGUCUUGCUGUCACUUAUAGAUGGAUCCGCGCUGCAUUAGCUAGUUGGUAAGGUAACGGCUUACCAAGGCAACGAUGCAUAUCCGACCUGAGAGGGUGAUAGGCCACACUGGAACUGAGACACGGUCCAUACGCCUACGAGAGGCCGCAGUAGAGAAUCUUCCGCAAUGGGCGAGAGCCUGACGGAACAAGGCCACGUGAGUGACGAAAAUCUUCCGAUCGUAAAAAUCUGUUACUGGGGAAGAACAUAUGUGUAAGUUACCGUGCACAGCUUGACGGUACCUAAUAAGAAAGCCACGGCUAACUACGUG